CUAGCGUAUAUUAAAGUUGUUGCGGUUAAAAAGCUCGUAGUUGGAUUUCAGCCGAGGACGACCGGUCUGUCUCUUGUAAGACGGCACCAGGAUUGGCCGAGGCAUUUCCUAAAGAACUGCUGCAGCUUGAUUGUUGUAUGUAGGUCUUUAGGGCUUUUACUUUGAGGAAAUUAGAGUGUUUCAAGCAGGCAUCUGCCUUGAAUACAUUAGCAUGGAAUAAUAAGAUAGGACUUCGGUUCUAUUUUGUUGGUUUCUGGGACUGGAGUAAUGAUUAAUAGGGAUAGUCGGGGGCAUUCGUACUUAACUGUCAGAGGUGGAAUUCUUGGAUUUGUUAAAGACGAACUACUGCGAAAGCAUUUGCCAAGGAUGUUUUCAUUGAUCAAGAACGAAAGUUAGGGGAUCGAAGACGAUUAGAUACCGUCCUAGUCUUAACCGUAAACCAUGCCGACUAGAGAUUGGAGGAUGUACCUUUAUGACACCUUCAGCACCUCGUGAGAAAUCAAAGUCUUUGGGUUCCGGGGGGAGUAUGGUCGCAAGGCUGAAACUUAAA
rnacentral:rRNA from 1 species